rnacentral:rRNA from 1 species
UACGUAGGGGGGCAAGCGUUGUCCGGAUUCAUUGGGCGUAAAGAGCUCGUAGGCGGUUCGGCAAGUCGGGUGUGAAAACUCCAGGCUCAACCUGGAGACGCCACCCGAUACUGCUGUGACUCGAGUCCGGUAGGGGACCACGGAAUUCCUGGUGUAGCGGUGAAAUGCGCAGAUAUCAGGAGGAACACCGGUGGCGAAGGCGGUGGUCUGGGCCGGAACUGACGCUGAGGAGCGAAAGCGUGGGGAGCGAACAGG